GACAGAGGGUGCAAACGUUGUUCGGAAUUACUGGGCUUAAAGCGCACGUAGGCGGCAUCGCAAGUGUCCGGUGAAAUCCCACGGCUCACCCGUGGAACUGCCUGCCAGACUGCGAUGCUCGAGUGUGGUAGGGGAGAGCGGAACUCCUGGUGGAGCGGUGAAAUGCGUAGAUGUCAGGAGGAACACCGGUGGCGAAGGCGGCUCUCUGGUCCACAACUGACGCUGAGGUGCGAAAGCUAGGGGAGCAAACAGG
rnacentral:rRNA from 1 species